rnacentral:rRNA from 1 species
UACGGGUGAGGCAAGCGUUGUUCGGAAUCACUGGGCUUAAAGCGCGUGUAGGCGGCAUGGUAAGUACCUUGUGAAAACCCUCGGCUCAACCGGGGAACUGCUUGGUAUACUGCCGUGCUCGAGGAAGGCAGAGGUGCCUGGAACUCUAGGUGGAGCGGUGAAAUGCGUAGAUAUCUAGAGGAACGCCCGUGGCGAAAGCGGGGCACUGGGCCUUUCCUGACGCUGAAAUGCGAAAGCGUGGGGAGCAAACGGG